GUGAACUAGAAAUAACACAGAGGAGGGAACUAAGUUUUCAAACUAGCAGAUUGAAGAUCACUAGUACAAAUAUCACAGCAUAUCCUGAAGUCCUUGGUUGCACAGCUGAAUUACUUUACUCCUAAAAAACAAUGUUGCAUUUCUUUAUUGGGGAAAGAAAAUGCACAUGAAGGAUGACUUGCGCUUUCUCAGGAGGGUGAUGUCACUUGUGCAAACAGGUUCCCCAAUCACCCAUUGCCUCUGCACACUAGCAUUGCAGACUGCAUGUGAUUGCUGCUCAGAAGCACUGUCUUAAAAUAAGCCUCUUGACAACCCCUAAUUACUUCCAAGAAAAAUUGCAUCCAAAAUGUACCCGCUGUCUCGCUCCAAGUUUAAAUUGGUGCUCUGAGCUAUCCCUUCAACUCCUGCCAGUGAUUGGUGCAUGGGUCAUUGCACAAAAACAGAACUGCUGUUA